rnacentral:rRNA from 1 species
UACGUAGGGUGCGAGCGUUGUCCGGAAUUACUGGGCGUAAAGGGCUCGUAGGCGGCCAACUAAGUCAGACGUGAAAUCCCCAGGCUCAACCUGGGAACUGCGUCCGAUACUGGAUGGCUUGAGUUCGGGAGAGGGAUGCGGAAUUCCAGGUGUAGCGGUGAAAUGCGUAGAUAUCUGGAGGAACACCGGUGGCGAAGGCGGCAUCCUGGACCGAUACUGACGCUGAGGAGCGAAAGCGUGGGGAGCGAACAGG